rnacentral:rRNA from 1 species
UACAGAGGGUGCGAGCGUUAAUCGGAAUUACUGGGCGUAAAGCGUGCGCAGGCGGUGAUGUAAGACAGAUGUGAAAUCCCCGGGCUCAACCUGGGAACUGCAUUGGAAACUGGCGAGCUUGAGUAUGGCAGAGGGGGGUGGAAUUCCGCGUGUAGCAGUGAAAUGCGUAGAGAUGCGGAGGAACACCGAUGGCGAAGGCAGCCCCCUGGGCCAAUACUGACGCUCAGGCACGAAAGCGUGGGGAGCAAACAGG